GACGAACGCUGGCGGCGUGCUUAACACAUGCAAGUCGAACGGAAAGGCCCUGCUUGCAGGGUCCUCGAGUGGCGAACGGGUGAGUAACACGUGGGUGAUCUGCCCUGCACUUCGGGAUAAGCCUGGGAAACUGGGUCUAAUACCGGAUAGGAGCCAUUUUUAGUGUGAUGGUUGGAAAGUUUUUUCGGUGUAGGAUGAGCUCGCGGCCUAUCAGCUUGUUGGUGGGGUAAUGGCCUACCAAGGCGGCGACGGGUAGCCGGCCUGAGAGGGUGGACGGCCACAUUGGGACUGAGAUACGGCCCAGACUCCUACGGGAGGCAGCAGGGGGGAAGAUUGCACAAUGGGCGCAAGCCUGAUGCAGCGACGCCGCGGGGGGGAUGACGGCCUUCGGGUUGGAAACUCCUUUCGCUAGGGACGAAGCUUUUUGUGACGGUACCUAGAUAAGAAGCACCGGCUAACUACGUG
rnacentral:rRNA from 1 species